AGAAGUGUUUUACAGAACCAGAGAACGCUGGGAUAAGGGCAUGUUCAUUCAACGUGAACUUUGCAAGACCGGGAGUUGAGACCAGAGGUGGAAUGAGUCUGUGACAAACAGCUGACAGCUGGACCUCAAGGGAAUAGGAAGGAGGACAGAAGCCUGAGGCAGGAAAGCUUGAGAGGGCUGGGAGCUAUUUCUCUGCUACCACAUUGGCUAUGGCCUCUGAUGAGCUGUCUGUGCCUCAGGGUCUUGCUGUGGGAUCACAGCUCUGCUCUUGGAUGUUGUUGGCUGGGAGAACUGUGAGGACUCCAUCACAAGAUAGAGCCAGCCACCAGCCACGGACAUGUCUCCACCUGUCCUGUCCCACAGGCCUGGCGCGGACAGAGGUGAAGCCAAGGGCAGCGUCCACUUGAGAACAGAUUGGUCUUGUCUGUGUGGUGAUGGGCAGAACCACAGAGAAACUUGGGUCAAAGCCGCAUCUGUGAGCCAGAGUCGUCCGUCUGUCCGUCAUCUCCCCCAACCCCGCCCUCUGCCAGGGUGGUCGUGGGAAACACACCUGCCCAUGGUGGACAAUAGGGGCAGGACAGCUGUUCUCCCCAUGGGUGAGCAGCUCGGCUAAGGGGACUCAUUUUACAGGCAGAAAGAUGGAAUCCUACAGAGUCACAGGUGGACAAAGCUUCAGAGCAUGUCACCAGCAUCCACUCACCCCUGUGCACAUGGGGGGCCAUCCCACUUCUGUAUUUGUGACACCGGGGUGAUUAGUCCUUCACUGAUGUGGCAAUGCUGAGGGUUGGGGAUGAGCCAAUAACUUUGAGCAGGGCGAUGUCUGAGCCCCGGAUCGUGCCUCAGAAGUGGCCAUUCUUUCCAUCCUUUAGCCUCAUGUGGUUCUAGAGAAAGCCCAGAGACGCCUUCAGAACUGUUCCUUGCUAUUGCCUCUGCCCCAGUCAGGACAGCUGUUGGCCCAGAAGCGGAAUGAACUGUGGUCCCUAGCAGGCCAGGACUGGUGCCUGGUUGCUGCAUCUUACCCUGCAGAUGUGACCUCUGACCCCGCCAGCAGGCGUGCUCUCUGGGCCUGACCCCCUUGUUCCCUUACAGUUUUUGAAUGGUGGUCAUUUCCUGCCUGUCUUGUCCACCAGUCGUCAGAGAAUGGGGCUGUGGAAAAUCUGGCCUGGCCUUCCUGUGCCCCAGCCUUGCCUGGCAGAGGUUCGUAUACAUAGUUCAUGGGCUCUGAGUACACAGUUCUCACUUUCCAGCCGGAGGGUUCAAGGGGACGGGUCUUCCUGAAGUCAGGUCUUGAUGACAGGUCCCAACCUCUGCUGAACCUCUUCUAUUGCACUGAGCUUGUGCUGGGUUUGUCCUCCGUCCCUUCCAGUCUUCCCAUGCCCCUUCUCUGAGAUAGAGUCCACAGGUCCUUUGACCUUCAGUGAUGCUCCAGGCCCAACCUGACCUGCCGCUUUGACCUAGCUGAAUCCCCCUGGGACUGUCCUCAC